rnacentral:rRNA from 1 species
CCCUUAGACGUUCUGGGCCGCACGCGCGCUACACUGACGGAGCCAGCGAGUAUAAACCUUGGCCGAGAGGUCUGGGAAAUCUUGUGAAACUCCGUCGUGCUGGGGAUAGAGCAUUGUAAUUAUUGCUCUUCAACGAGGAAUUCCUAGUAAGCGCAAGUCAUCAGCUUGCGUUGAUUACGUCCCUGCCCUUUGUACACACCGCCCGUCGCUACUACCGAUUGAAUGGCUUAGUGAGGCUUCCGGAUUGGUUUAGAGAAGGGGGCAACUCCAUCUUGGAACCGAGAAGCUGGUCAAACUUGGUCAUUUAGAGGAAGUAAAAGUCGUAACA